UCCCCAAAUUGGUCCCUGACAAAUAUUCUUCUUGAGGCAUUUAUGUCAGAUGCUCCUACCCUUGAAUGAGGUAGCUUGAAGUGCAGAUGAUUUUAAUUGCAUUGAGAAUGCUAAAUUAGGAUUCCACUUGUAUACUGGUGACCAGCAGGAAUAAAUUAAAUGGGACUGGACUGGUGUUAUCAAGGAUUAAUAGGAGCUUAAUAACUCUCUUGCCACCAGACUUGGUUCAUUUGUCUCGGAUCGAUCCUGGCAUUUUGGCGAAGGCGAGUGUCAGAUGGAAAAGUCUCCACAAUGGCAUGUGAUGCACGUCGAAG
rnacentral:lncRNA from 1 species